rnacentral:rRNA from 1 species
GACGAACGCUGGCGGCGUGCUUAACACAUGCAAGUCGAACGGAAAGGCCCUGCUUUUGUGGGGUGCUCGAGUGGCGAACGGGUGAGUAACACGUGAGUAACCUGCCCUUGACUUUGGGAUAACUUCAGGAAACUGGGGCUAAUACCGGAUAGGAGCUCCUGCUGCAUGGUGGGGGUUGGAAAGUUUCGGCGGUUGGGGAUGGACUCGCGGCUUAUCAGCUUGUUGGUGGGGUAGUGGCUUACCAAGGCUUUGACGGGUAGCCGGCCUGAGAGGGUGACCGGCCACAUUGGGACUGAGAUACGGCCCAGACUCCUACGGGAGGCAGCAGUGGGGAAUAUUGCACAAUGGGCGGAAGCCUGAUGCAGCAACGCCGCGUGCGGGAUGACGGCCUUCGGGUUGUAAACCGCUUUCGCCUGUGACGAAGCGUGAGUGACGGUAAUGGGUAAAGAAGCACCGGCUAACUACGUGCCAGCAGCCGCGGUGAUACGUAGGGUGCGAGCGUUGUCCGGAUUUAUUGGGCGUAAGGGGCUCGUAGGUGGUUGAUCGCGUCGGAAGUGUAAUCUUGGGGCUUAACCCUGAGCGUGCUUUCGAUACGGGUUGACUUGAGGAAGGUAGGGGAGAAUGGAAUUCCUGGUGGAGCGGUGGAAUGCGCAGAUAUCAGGAGGAACACCAGUGGCGAAGGCGGUUCUCUGGGCCUUUCCUGACGCUGAGGAGCGAAAGCGUGGGGAGCGAACAGGCUUAGAUACCCUGGUAGUCCACGCUGUAAACGGUGGGUACUAGGUGUGGGGUCCAUUCCACGGGUUCCGUGCCGUAGCUAACGCUUUAAGUACCCCGCCUGGGGAGUACGGCCGCAAGGCUAAAACUCAAAGGAAUUGACGGGGCCCCGCACAAGCGGCGGAGCAUGCGGAUUAAUUCGAUGCAACGCGUAGAACCUUACCUGGGUUUGACAUGGAUCGGGAGUGCUCAGAGAUGGGUGUGCCUCUUUUGGGGUCGGUUCACAGGUGGUGCAUGCCUGUCGUCAGCUCGUGUCGUGAGAUGUUGGGUUAAGUCCCGCAACGAGCGCAACCCUUGUUCACUGUUGCCAGCACGUUAUGGUGGGGACUCAGUGGAGACCGCCGGGGUCAACUCGGAGGAAGGUGGGGAUGACGUCAAGUCAUCAUGCCCCUUAUGUCCAGGGCUUCACGCAUGCUACAAUGGCUGGUACAGAGAGUGGCGAGCCUGUGAGGGUGAGCGAAUCUCGGAAAGCCGGUCUCAGUUCGGAUUGGGGUCUGCAACUCGACCUCAUGAAGUCGGAGUCGCUAGUAAUCGCAGAUCAGCAACGCUGCGGUGAAUACGUUCCCGGG